GACGAACGCUGACGGCGUGCUUAACACAUGCAAGUCGAAGGGAGUGGCGAACGGGUGAGUAACACGUGAGUAACCUGCCUUUUUCUUUGGGAUAAGCCUGGGAAACUGGGUCUAAUACUUGAUGGAUUGGGCUGGUCUCGCGGCUUAUCAGCUUGUUGGUGGGGUGAUGGCUUACCAAGGCUUUGACGGGUAGCCGGCCUGAGAGGGUGGACGGUCACAGUGGGACGGAGAUAAGGCCCAGACUAGUAAGGGAGGGAGAAGAUGGGGAUAUGGGAGAAUGGAUGAUGGACUGAUGCAGCGACGGUGUGUGGGGGAUGAAGGCUUUCGGGUUGUUAACUCCGUGCGCCAGGGGAAUGGUAGUGGGUAAAGAAGCGCCGGCUAACUACGUGCCAGCAGCCGCGGUAAUAC
rnacentral:rRNA from 1 species